ensembl:lncRNA
GUGUUUCCGCCGCGGGGAUGCCCCGCUGGGCGGCGGCGGGGAUACCCCUGCGUGACGCAGCGGAGCGCGGCGGGGCGGCGGCGGUGACCUCACGGCGGCGGCUCGGGGCCUCCCCCCGGCGGCUGAGGGAUACAGCAUUAAAGACAACUGUAUCCAUUUCAACUUGGUCACCUAAGGCCCGUGUUGGGCUUAGGUCUGAGCCAGAGUCCUACUCCACAGAAGUAUCCUGCCAUACAGAGAAUAAAUGUAGAAGGCUCUGGUAUUGAUGAAGCUAGAGAAAUGGCCAGAUGGUGAAUGCUCAGGUUUUCCAACUGCUGUUGGAUCAAGGCCCCACAUUGGAAAUUUCUGCCCCAAAGGAAGAAAUUUUGAGAAAGAUUCAAAUGAUUCCAACCAAAUCUUUUAUGAAUGUUAGAAGUAUGUGCAGUAUGCUUUGUUCACAAUGGCUCUGUUUUCCCAGACAGAAGCU